CAAGGUGGUAGAUGGUAUAACAAUCAUUGUGAAUACGGUGAAUGUGAAAUUCUCGAGUGCAGCGUUCACGGCAUCAGUGCAGAUGUCUCGCAUUCGCGUCGAAUCGAAAACACCCAAAUGGGCAAACGCCGAUCUACGAUUCACCCGCCUCAAAGAUCCUCAGAAAGGCAUCAUACUCAUCUUCAAAGAGCUCUCCUGGCAAACGGUGCGCAUUGAGGCCAGUUCCACACAAGACAAAUCGCUCACUCCAUUACGCUUGCUAACCAAUCAGGCGCGCUGUCGGAUCACAUUACGGAAACGUCUUUCCGAUUGUACGCUUUUAGCCUCGAGACUGGUGCUCAUACUUGACGAUCUCCUUUGGGUGCUCACCGAUUCACAGCUGAAGGCGGCCUUACAUUUUGUCGAUUCGUUAUCGGGUCUAAUCAAAGCGGCGACACAUGCAACACAAAAAAAGAAUGCAGCUAGAAAACUACAGACUCUGCCCGAGUAUCAGGCAUUAAUUGCGCAACAACAAAAUCGUCAAUCUGAUACAGCGCACACAACAACAGCGCAGAAAAUGUUUAAUGCUUUCGAUGUGCGCGAGACUUCCUAUCACUUUUUUAGUCAGCGCAUCGAUUUGCAUUUGUGUGACGACGAAGGAGACGGCCGUUCAAGUUUUCCUGAGUUGGAUAAAGGCGGCGCAUUACAAAUAUCUGUACAAGCAUUCCAAGUAGACUAUUAUCCUUAUCAUCUGGCCAAGUCGGAUCGUGCGCACUGGGCGAAAUAUCGUGAGGCAUCCGUAUCGCCAGCGCUGUGGCUUAAAGAAUCGCUCAAUACAUUCCGUGAAGCUGUACUCAAUCUAAGUCAACCAAAUCGCCCCUCCACUCAUGCACCGCUCGAACGUACUGCACCUCCUUCACCCAUCGCUCUAAAUGUAAAUGCGCUGCAGGCACAAAGUUUGGCGCAUGCUGCGUCCGUGACAGCUGGUGGCACGCCGCCUGCUGUUACGUCGGGCACAACUACGCCUAAUCGUCAUGGUAGUAGCGGCGGUGGUUCCGGUAAUGCCUCUGCUCUCUCUAGCCAGGUGACGCAAGCGCAACAACAAAAGGCGACUUUGGAUAAUUUAGCGAAAUUAAUGAGCGCCUGUGUUGUAUUGCGUAUCGAGGAUUUUACAUUGUAUCGCGUCACUACAUCGGGCAGGAAACAGAUGCCUAAGGAGUUUGUGUCGGCACAAAAUAAAAGGAAAUCACGUUCAGGUGACAAGGAGCGUUAUUCUUUUCCCUCUGAUAUGUCCAUUGUACAUGCCGAGUUUACUUACUUUUAUUAUCCUGGUGAUUUUAUAUUUCCUUUGCCACCGUCCAAAGUAUUUGUUCACAUAAAUCCCUUACAAGUGCACUUCGAUUUAAGUUCCGUACUUUGGCUCAAUUCAUUUGCGCUUAAUUUACAUGAGAGUUUAUUGCGUACCAGCGUUGGUUCGGCAAGUGGUGUUUCUUCUACGGCGCGCGGUUCGGUCUCCUCUAGUGGCUCACAACGUGGUGCACAGAGUGUGCUGGGUUCGCAGGGUUCGCAGGGUUCGCAGGGUUCACGCAACUCACAAUCGGCCAUAUUUCAGGUGCAACAACAAGAAGAGCCCAAUCUAAUGUAUAUGGAUGUGAAAAUUGAAGCGAUUAUGCCGCGUGUCGUCAUCGAAUCAACCGUAGAUGUGCCCAAUCAAAAGGAUCGCCCAAGAAUUAUGCAAAUUCAAAUUUCACGUUUUGCCAUUACAAACAUACGUGAAAUGGGUUCGUCGCGCGCUGAUUUAGCGCAAGCUUUACAUUCACUACAAGAGGGUUCACUCGUCUUCGGCACGGAAUUUCCAUCGAUGAGCGGUGAUAUGUGCAUUGUCACUGAUCGCAUACUAUCGCAUGUGGCCGCUGCGGAUGUGGGUGUUCCCGCAGUAGCAGGAACCUCGACGGCGGCGGCGGCCGCGGCGGCAACGACGACUUCCAUGGCAGCAACACAAUUUUCUUUGCAACAACAAGCGCAAUCACAGUUGCCAGCACAGCUGUCGAAAUCCGCUUCAACACAGAAUUUGACACGUUACGCCAUGUGGUCGGAGCCGCGCGAUGUAUGGUGUAUCAAAUUGGAUCCGGUGUGGGUUGACUUCUUGGGUGCACGCUCUUUGGGAGCCAACAAAUCUAUACCAUUUGUUGACGCCGUUCCAGUAACCCUUUGGCUGCAUUCUGGUGUUGGUGCCAUGUCAAAGUCGGCGGCGGCGGCAAGCAUCGUAAACAAUUCAAAUACAUCCAGCGUGAAAGGAUUCUCCGUCGAAACGAAUAUCAAUUGCAUGGAUUAUGCGGAUGGUCGAAAUUUGCCACGCAAUCCAUUCCUGAGUGAGGAAGAUGUACGCAUGGGCAUGGAUUGGAAGCAGCAACGUUCCUUUAAUGGUGCCGGCGAAAGCGUCGACGCUGCAAUUGGUGGUGGAAGGUCGAAAGAAACGGGCGCAAAGGACGCAAACACCGAACGCACCGCCGAUAUGCAUGCCAUUGCGCACAUAUCCAAUUUGGUGAGUGUGCAAAUCGAUCAUUAUCAGUACUUGUUCCUAUUGCGGCUAGCCGAGGAGAUGACAGAAAUGGCUAUGUUCCUGUCAAUGGAUGCCGAACGUAUUUUACAAAAGCAAAAUACGAAGAAAUCAAUGAUAUUCGGUUGUGUUAUACCGCAAAUCGAAGUAACACUCGUGAUGCCAUCGCCAACACCUGGUAAGGAAUCGAGUGGUGGUGAUGCUGAAAGUGUCUUACCCGAUUCAGCUAGUUUGGGUGAUGAUUUACACAUGAAUAGUACAAACACUAUAUGGCCUACACCUCCAUUGGAGGAAGUAAAACGGAAUAUAUAUGGCAGUGUGGAAACACCUUCCCCAGUCACCAAUGAGCCACUCUUCGAUGGUGGCAUGCAUAUUUCCAAUCCCAAUACACAUGGUUAUAAUGUGCAAAUACAAAGUACACCAACAGUUGCGUCCUCCACACCCAGUCAGGGUUCACGUCCCGACACUGGUGUCUAUUCACAGUCCAUUACAGCAUCGACGAAAAGUGUGCGUUCGACACGUACUUCCACAACAGGCGAUGCGACUAGCAUAACCAAAGAAAUCAAUUCUAGUCUCAUGUCUAUGAAGAAAGGCUUCUCCAGUUUUAUGACAUCCAUAGAUUCGGCCAUUAAGUCAGGAGCGCCAAAUGAUGACACCAGUGACACAUUCUCUAUACAAAGUGAUAUUAGUUCAGAUUCGGAAAAUUUCGCCAUUGUUAUGGGCGAUGAUAAGACUAUGGAUUGCAUUGAUGUGAUGUUUAGAUUAAAUCCCUUCACCAAUGAUACCAACUUGAAAGUAUCACCCGUUGAGGUGGCUAGCGAAGUGCUGGAAGAGCCUAGUUAUAAUAAAACUAAUCUGUCAUCGCCCUCCGAACCGUCUGAGGCAAGCACGUGGCGGCGUCGUGAUUUAGUCUCAAUGGCGACUUUUAGACUCACCACGGUUGAAUUGAUACGCCAAAAUGAGGGCAACUCUUCAUCGUUGCGCGUACAAGUGGCCGCAGUUUCUUGCGACGAGUGUGGCGCAAUUCCUUGGGAUGAACUGCAGAAAGCGCAACAAGCAAACAAGACUAAAUUUGGCGCACGUUGUAAAGCUUGGAAUUUGGCGCCCUACAAUCCAGAGUUGCCGCCAUGCAUACGUUUGCGUUUGGAGGAGACACUCAACCCACCACAGGGUGAUGUAAACAUCACCGAUAAGAAAAUUAUACAGAGUUGGAUCCAGCAUCAUGCGGAAGUGCGCGUAAAGGAUGUUAAUUUAGAUUUAUCCAUGAGCACAGUUAUAGGUUUGGGAGAUUUAGCAGAAGAUGAAAUAAUCACCACUCCUUUGCCGGUGACUGUGCACGUGGAAAAUGUGAAAAUCAACUUAAUAGAAGAUCGUCCGCCCGUUAAUAUUACCUCACCGGGUCCAGUGCCAAUACGUUUGGCCAUAGGUCGUAUGCGUAUACAUCGUGAUAAGAAUGGCAUUGUGAACGUACAACCUAUAGAAACUGGUUUAAAUGACGCUGCCUCUUCAAACUAUCCUCUAACAGCUGUCGCUCCGACACCGCGCGAUCGCGAUCGUGAUCGUGAAAUACUUGCAAUGCAGUUGGUUAUGCAACAAUUGAAAAUGGACAAUGACAAUUUGCGUAAGCAGUUGGUAAAUGCGAAAGAAAAUGCCGAUUGCUAUAGACAAAAGACCAAACAAGAUAAUGAUGUACUACGUUCAUAUCUAAAAGCGGCACAAGACGACAUAACUAUACUUUUGGAAGAGAAAAAGGCUUUACUGGAUACGAUACGUUCACUGCAGUUCACGUAAGUGCGACCAUAGCUGCGGUUCAUGUGUUUGCAAAAGCUUCUCAAAAAGCAGACAUAAGCUGACAAUGCCCUGCAACGAAAGCGUUUUAUGUGAAUGGCUCGGAAUAUCAACCCAUACUCCACGAUAAGCCCAACCAACCCACCUGCGGAUGUGUAUUUAUUGUGGUCAAUCGAUGGCAGUAGCGUAUAUAGAAAGCGCGAAAUGUGAAGUACAAAUUAAUAGAAGAGUCAUAUAAGUAACAAAAUGGAGCCGCUGUAACGCAAAGUCACCAAUGAAAUUAAUAUCUUUCUGGAAUUUCCAAUAUCAUUAAUUACCAAACAUGCAAAUGCCAUGGAAGGGCACCACACCUGAUGGCGGACCAUCAUAAUUUCUACCCUUCACCGGAUAUUUUUCAAAUUGUAUUUGACUGGCUAUCUCAGUGUCGCGCGAAAAGCAUAGCAUUAUCUGAUAGAGCACAUCUUCGAAAACAAAAUACUGAUCGUCAUUUGAAGCCGUCAAUUGAAUGUCCUUGAAAAUCAGUUUAUCCACAAUGUGAUCGGUGGUUAAAACUUUAUUGCGUAAAUUCGCCCAGUGAUCGCAUUCCUGAAGCAGACAAAAAGAAAAGUGAAAAGUGUCCUUAAAAUAAAAUUGCAAUGAAAGUUCAAUGCGUUCCAGUAUCACCAAUAAUGAUUUCCAAAACGAGAUUCAACUACAUACAUAUCUCUCCCCACCAACCUGCCCAUUCAUGUAACUGCCGUGCGAUAGCACAAAGGACCAUAGUUCACCACGAAAUGGUGGCGGCGUUCUGCCCUUCUUCAGAAAAUGUUGACAAAGUGGCGCCUGCUUGGUAUCCAGUAUACGCUUGCAUUGUGUGGGAACUCUAGAACUAUUGAGAAGCUACUCAGAAAC